UGGGGAAUCUUGCACAAUGGGCGAAAGCCUGAUGCAGCAACGCCGCGUGCGGGAAGAAGGCCCUAGGGUUGUAAACCGCUUUCAGCAGGGAAGAAGAUGACGGUACCUGUAGAAGAAGGUGCGGCCAACUACGUGCCAGCAGCCGCGGUGACACGUAGGCACCAAGCGUUGUCCGGAUUUAUUGGGCGUAAAGAGCUCGUAGGCGGUUCGGUAAGUCGGGUGUGAAAACUCUGGGCUCAACCCAGAGCCGCCACCCGAUACUGCUGUGACUUGAGUUCGGUAGGGGAGCGGGGAAUUCCUGGUGUAGCGGUGAAAUGCGCAGAUAUCAGGAGGAACACCAGUGGCGAAGGCGCCGCUCUGGGCCGAGACUGACGCUGAGGAGCGAAAGCGUGGGUAGCAAACAGGAUUAGAUACCCUGGUAGUCCACGCCGUAAACGUUGGGGCACUAGGUGUGGGUCUUAACCAACGAGAUCCGCGCCGUCGCUAACGCAUUAAGUGUCCC
rnacentral:rRNA from 1 species